rnacentral:rRNA from 1 species
CCCUAAAAAGCCAUCCCAGUUCGGAUCGCAGGCUGCAACCCGCCUGCGUGAAGUUGGAAUCGCUAGUAAUCGCGGAUCAGCAUGCCGCGGUGAAUACGUUCCCGGGCCUUGUACACACCGCCCGUCACACCAUGAGAGUCGGGAACACCCGAAGUCCGUAGUCUAACCGCAAGGGGACGCGGCCGAAGGUGGGUUCGAUAAUUGGGGUGAAGUCGUAACAAGGUAGC